GACGAACCGUGCGAACGUUGUUCGGAUUCACUGGGCUUAAAGGGCGCGUAGGCGGGCGACCAAGUCCGGGGUGAAAUCUUUCGGCUCAACCGGAAAAGUGCCUUGGAUACUGGUUGUCUCGAGGGAGGUAGGGGCAUGCGGAACUUCCGGUGGAGCGGUGAAAUGCGUAGAUAUCGGAAGGAACGCCGGUGGCGAAAGCGAUCUGCUGGACCCCUUCUGACGCUGAGGCGCGAAAGCCAGGGGAGCGAACGGG
rnacentral:rRNA from 1 species